UCCCGGGUGGCCCAGGAGUUAGGACUCCACUUUUUCACAGUGGAGGGCCCAGGUUCAACCCCUGGUUGGGAA
rnacentral:tRNA from 1 species